CCUACGGGAGGCUGCAGUGGGGAAUAUUGGACAAUGGGGGCAACCCUGAUCCAGCCAUGCCGCGUGUGUGAAGAAGGCCCUCGGGUUGUAAAGCACUUUCAGUGAGGAAGAACGCCUGGUGGUUAAUACCCAUCAGGAAAGACAUCACCCACAGAAGAAGCACCGGCUAACUCCGUGCCAGCAGCCGCGGUAAUACGGAGGGUGCGAGCGUUAAUCGGAAUUACUGGGCGUAAAGCGCGCGUAGGUGGCUUGAUAAGCCGGUUGUGAAAGCCCCGGGCUCAACCUGGGAACGGCAUCCGGAACUGUCAAGCUAGAGUGCAGGAGAGGAAGGUAGAAUUCCCGGUGUAGCGGUGAAAUGCGUAGAGAUCGGGAGGAAUACCAGUGGCGAAGGCGGCCUUCUGGACUGACACUGACACUGAGGUGCGAAAGCGUGGGUAGCAAACAGGAUUAGAUACCCCGGUAGUC
rnacentral:rRNA from 1 species